CCUACGGGCGGCAGCAGUGGGGAAUAUUGGACAAUGGGGGCAACCCUGAUCCAGCCAUGCCGCGUGUGUGAAGAAGGCCCUCGGGUUGUAAAGCACUUUCAGUGAGGAAGAACGCCUGGUGGUUAAUACCCAUCAGGAAAGACAUCACUCACAGAAGAAGCACCGGCUAACUCCGUGCCAGCAGCCGCGGUAAUACGGAGGGUGCGAGCGUUAAUCGGAAUUACUGGGCGUAAAGCGCGCGUAGGUGGCUUGAUAAGCCGGUUGUGAAAGCCCCGGGCUCAACCUGGGAACGGCAUCCGGAACUGUCAAGCUAGAGUGCAGGAGAGGAAGGUAGAAUUCCCGGUGUAGCGGUGAAAUGCGUAGAGAUCGGGAGGAAUACCAGUGGCGAAGGCGGCCUUCUGGACUGACACUGACACUGAGGUGCGAAAGCGUGGGUAGCGAACAGGAUUAGAUACCCCGGUAGUC
rnacentral:rRNA from 1 species